rnacentral:rRNA from 1 species
GACGAACGCUGGCGGCGUGCCUAAUACAUGCAAGUCGAACGCAGUGGGGACGGGUGAGUAACACGUGGGUAACCUCCCAUCAGAGGGGAUAACACUUGGCAACAGGUGCUAAACCGAUACGGAUGGAUGAACCCGCGGUGCAUAAGCUAUUUGGUGAGGUAACGGCUCACCAAGGCUAGGAUGCAUAGCGGACCUGGAGUGUGUAUCGCCAAACCGGGAACGAGAAAAGGCCCGGAUCCCUAGGGAGGGCAGAGUGAGGGAUAGUGCGACAAUGGACGAAAGCCGGACCAGGCAUGGCCGGUGGAGGAAGAAGGGUUUAGGGAUCGAAAAACUCUGUUGUUAGGGAGACGGUAUCUAACCAGAAAGCCCCGGCUAACUACGUGCCAGCAGCCGGGGAAAAA